AUUGAACGCUGGCGGCAUGCUUUACACAUGCAAGUCGAACGGCAGCGCGGGCUUCGGCCUGGCGGCGAGUGGCGAACGGGUGAGUAAUGCAUCGGAACGUGCCCAGUAGUGGGGGAUAGCCCGGCGAAAGCCGGAUUAAUACCACAUACGACCUGAGGGUGAAAGCGGGGGACCGAAAGGCCUCGCGCUAUUGGAGCGGCCGAUGUCGGAUUAGCUAGUUGGUGGGGUAAAGGCUUACCAAGGCGACGAUCCGUAGCUGGUCUGAGAGGACGACCAGACACACUGGGACUGAGACACGGCCCAGACUCCUACGGGAGGCAGCAGAGGGGAAUUUUAGACAAUGGGGGCAACCCUGAUCCAGCCAUGCCGCGUGCGGGAAGAAGGCCUUCGUGUUGUAAACCGCUUUUGUUCGGGAAGAAAUCCUCUGGGCUAAUACCCCAGGGGGAUGACGGUACCGGAAGAAUAAGCACCGGCUAACUACGUG
rnacentral:rRNA from 1 species